GCUCAUCCUGCGGCGGUAUCCUGGUGAAUGGACAGCUGCUCCCUUAGACUCUCAUUCGUUACCUGAAGAGGCCCUGUGGGCGUUUGCAUUUUCACCCUCGACCUAUUCUGCCCCAGCCUCCAAUGUGCUAAAUACAAGUCUCCCCUAAAGGCUGGGUGGAGAAGGAGACAUACUACUGACCCCAUUGGAAGAAGAACCAGGCAUGGAAAGAUGGGGAGCUCUGGAGGUGUUGUGGGGAUGGUGAUGGAGAGGGAUGGAAAUAACGGGUGGCAUUGGGUGGCAACAUUUGGGGAGAGAUAAUGAGGCAACUCAGCAGGCUAAGUUGCGGGGUAUAUAAAUUGGGGUGAUGACCCCAUAGACCUAACUGUGAACAAUCAGAUUAGACACUAUGUGUUAGAGUCCCCCCCACCAGAUCCUUUUCCAUCCCACUCCACUAUGUUGUCUAUUUUUUCUGAGGAAUUAAGGGUUACCCCACCCUGCCCACUCCCAUCCCUUCAACCCCACUUCCUACUGUAAUAGAUCAGCAUCCAAAAGCAGGAACCCAUCUAAACCAGAAGGAAGCCCUCUCAGAUCACCCCAGCCUCACUCCAUUUCCCACUUCCACCCCCGUUAGCUUCCUGCAGGACUCUAUCCC
rnacentral:sRNA from 1 species